rnacentral:rRNA from 1 species
AUACCAUUUGUUGCCUCGGCGGUGCCUGCUUCGGCAGCCCGCCAGAGGACCCAAACCCUUGAUUUUAUACAGUAUCUUCUGAGUAAAUGAUUAAAUAAAUCAAAACUUUCAACAACGGAUCUCUUGGUUCUGGCAUCGAUGAAGAACGCAGCGAAAUGCGAUAAGUAAUGUGAAUUGCAGAAUUCAGUGAAUCAUCGAAUCUUUGAACGCACAUUGCGCCCGCCAGUAUUCUGGCGGGCAUGCCUGUUCGAGCGUCAUUUCAACCCUCAAGCCCCCGGGCUUGGUGUUGGAGAUCGGCGUGCCCUCCGGGGCGCGCCGGCUCCCAAAUAUAGUGGCGGUCUCGCUGUAGCUUCCUCUGCGUAGUAGCACACCUCGCACUGGGAAACAGCGUGGCCACGCCGUUAAACCCCCCACUUCUGAAAGGUUGACCUCGGAUCAGGUAGGAAUACCCGCUGAACUUAAGCAUAUC